CCCACAGCUCAGUGGUGAAACAUCUGCUUUGCAUGCAGAAGGUCCCAGGUUCAAUCCCUGCAUCUCCAGUUAGGGU